AAAAAGUGUUGGUCUUUUUGCUCUUUUGUAAUUAAAUCUGGAUGUACCUCAAAAGACUCUUUAAGACUGUGGUGAUAAGAUGCUUUCCUC
rnacentral:lncRNA from 1 species